rnacentral:rRNA from 1 species
GCCGCGGUAAUUCCAGCUCCAAUAGCGUAUAUUAAAGUUGUUGCAGUUAGAACGCUCGUAGUCGGAUUUCGGGGCGGGCCGACCGGUCUGCCGAUGGGUACGCACUGGUCGGCGCGUCCUUCCUUCCGGAGACCGUCCCUACUCUUAACUGAGCGGGGGCGGGAGACGGAACGUUUACUUUGAAAAAAUCAGAGUGUUUCAAGCAGGCAGCUCGCUCUUGCAUGGAUUAGCAUGGGAUAAUGAAAUAGGACUUUGGUGCUAUUUUGUUGGUUUCGAACACCGAAGUAAUGAUGAGAAGGGACAGUCAGGGGCACUCGUAUUCCGCCGAGAGAGGUGAAAUUCUCAGACCAGCGGAAGACGAACCACUGCGAAAGCAUUUGCCAGGGAUGUUUUCACUGAUCAAGAACGAAAGUUAGGGGAUCGAAGACGAUCAGAUACCGUCGUAGUCUUAACCAUAAACCAUGCCGACUAGGGAUUGGAGAAUGUUCUCAAUUGACUUCUUCAGCACCUUACGGGAAACUAAAGUCUUUGGGUUCCGGGGGGAGUAUGGUCGCAAGGCUGAAACUUAAAGGAAUUGACGGAAGGGCACCACCAGGUGUGGAGCCUGCGGCUUAAUUUGACUCAACACGGGGAAACUUACCAGGUCCAGACAUUGUGAGGAUUGACAGAUUGAGAGCUCUUUCUUGAUUCGAUGGGUGGUGGUGCAUGGCCGUUCUUAGUUGGUGGAGUGAUUUGUCUGGUUAAUUCCGUUAACGAACGAGACCUUAGCCUGCUAAAUAGUGACGCGAACACUUCGUUCGUGGACCACUUCUUAGAGGGACAACUUGUCUUCAACAAGUGGAAGUUUGAGGCAAUAACAGGUCUGUGAUGCCAAGACGAUCGUUUAGCUGCAGGA